GCACCCUCUGCAGCAGCCGGGCCUGGAACGAGCUCCCAGCCCCAUCAGAUACCACCUGACUGGGGAGCCGGAGCGCCAGCCCAAGCCGGACCAUCUCCCCUGCUCUUUGUGGCACGCAUGCUACUGGCACCAGUCAGGGACUGGUGAGGCUCACGCCCAGCAGGGCCUGGCACUGGGGCAGGGGUUGCUCCCAGCACUGACGCAGGUCAGGGCACAGCAGAGCUAACGAAAGCAGGUGGCGGGGGGGAGUUCAAACCCAGGCUCAGCUACUGAGAUUUCUCACCCCCGGAUGUACUUGAAAAAACCCUCAAUCAUCUUCCCUGUGCUGGGCCCCUCCCAUCUGUGCUGCCACCUUCUGGGGCCUGGGGUCUCCGGCCCACAUCUGGGCUUCACUUAGCCCUUCGCUCACCAGCUCCUCCCCAAAGACAGUCCAGGCUACACCGAGGAGCAGAGGCCACCCCAAGAACCGGGACCAUCGUCAGCUGAUGCGCAGUGCAGGGCGGUGCUGCGGGCGCUCAGCCGAGCCGUGCAGCGCAGAGAAGGGGCUGCUCUGGGGAGGUCGUGCCGCUGGAGUGGCCCCGCUCUAUCGCUAGCAGGCCUGUCUGGUCCUGCACCUGUGCUGGGGGCAAGGUGGCGUGUGCCACCACCCCCCAUGUUCCUCAGUCCGGCCUGCUUUGAAAUGUCCCUGGCGGGUCCCACAGUCAGAUCCAUCUCCCAGCCGUGGAGUCACUCCCGAUAUUUCACUCUCAUUCGUCCCUUCCUUAGCCCCCUCCCCAUUCUGUUCCCUUGGGUUCCCAAAACAAGCCGCCUCCCCCUCGGCGCACCAGGCAGCUGAGGGACGGUGCUCUGGUUGGACUCUCUUCAGCAGGUGCUGGGGCCAGGCCAACAGGAAGGACAAGCCUGUGAUCCAAGCACUGGAGGCUCAGGAGAGCUGGGUUCUAAUCUUGCCUCUGCCGCAGCCUCCUGUGUGACCGUGGGCAGGUCAUUUAGUGGUUCUGUGCCCUGGUGCCCCAAUACCACAGUGAUGGGCCUGGCAGCAGAAACCUGAGAGUUCUGAAAGGCGGCCAGCUUUGGCCUCAACUUGCUGCUACAGGCACAAAGCGGGUAGGAAUUGUGUUACUUCCCCAUUCUAGUUCUGUCGGCACCCCUCACUCCCAACCCGCAGCCCCCUAUUCCAGCCCUGGGCUCCCCCGCGGCUCUGCCAGUGCCCCUCACUC